AUGGGCCACUACUUAUGCACCUCCCAGUGGCCCAAAAGCCCAUCUAGUGGCCAUAUACACCCCCGUGACCUAAUUCCACUAUCUCCUUCCCUUCUUUCCCACCACAGACGCCACGAAGCCAUACCCUUAUGGUCCUCCCUCCCUCCUCUUCAUGGCCCCACCCUUCUCCCUCACAGCAGCAAGCCCCAGGAGCCCCCAGUCCUCCCUCCUCUUCAUGGUGCCGGGAGACAGCGGGGCCGUCAUCUCCAAGCCCCAGGAGCAGCCAGAACUAGGGCAGCCACAGCCGUACACUUCAUGUCUGUCUAA
rnacentral:rRNA from 1 species